rnacentral:rRNA from 1 species
AUUGAACGCUGGCGGCAUGCCUUACACAUGCAAGUCGAACGGCAGCACGGGUGCUUGCACCUGGUGGCGAGUGGCGAACGGGUGAGUAAUACAUCGGAGCAUGUCCUGUAGUGGGGGAUAGCCCGGCGAAAGCCGGAUUAAUACCGCAUACGAUCUACGGAUGAAAGCGGGGGACCUUCGGGCCUCGCGCUAUAGGGUUGGCCGAUGGCUGAUUAGCUAGUUGGUGGGGUAAAGGCCUACCAAGGCGACGAUCAGUAGCUGGUCUGAGAGGACGACCAGCCACACUGGGACUGAGACACGGCCCAGACUCCUACGGGAGGCAGCAGUGGGGAAUUUUGGACAAUGGGCGAAAGCCUGAUCCAGCAAUGCCGCGUGUGUGAAGAAGGCCUUCGGGUUGUAAAGCACUUUUGUCCGGAAAGAAAUCCUUGGCCCUAAUACGGUCGGGGGAUGACGGUACCGGAAGAAUAAGCACCGGCUAACUACGUG